rnacentral:rRNA from 1 species
UACGUAGGGUGCGAGCGUUGCCCGGAUUUAUUGGGCGUAAAGGGCGCGUAGGCGGCCACGCACGUCCGUUGUGAAAUCGCCCGGCUCAACUGGGCGGGGUCAGCGGAUACGGUGUGGCUAGAGCAAGCUAGGGGGCAAUGGAAUUCCCGGUGUAGUGGUGGAAUGCGUAGAGAUGUGGAGGAACACCGAUGGCGAAGGCAGCCUCCUGGGCCAGCACUGACGCUCAUGGCAACGAAAAGCGUGGGGAGCAAACAGG